AGCAUCAAUAGCAAAAGAAUUGCAUGAACUUUUGGGAAAGUUAAUUGGAUGCAUAUAAAAUUACUUGCUAAAUUUUAUUGGUUAUGUAUAAAACUACUUUCUAAAUUUUAUUGAAAGUUUUUUUUUUUUGAAUAAAAUACUGGAUCUAUAUUCCUCAGGCUCAAAACCAAACAAACCAAAAACCAGACCAAGUCCAAAACAAAAACACAUUCUGGAAAAAAAACCAAAGAAACAGGAAAAACUGAAAAUAAAAAUAAACACAGCCCAAAAAACGGCCCACACAAAUAGAGACCCAGCACAAUAAUCGGCAGUAGAAAACUCUAGAGACAUUGCAUCCCAGUUGGCUUCAACAAAACCUCCUUCAAAACAACUCCACCGCCUGGAAAAACACACUUCAUUCAUAUCAAACGUUACUUCCAUCAAUCAACAGCAAUCAAUAUUCACCCACUUCCUACCCACUUUCCUUCUUGAGAGAAACCAAACAUUUGAAGCUUACUGCAAAACUCCCCCCACUUCCUCCUCCGCCAUCCGACCCCUCGACUCCCUCUGGCUCUCCGUCCAUCUCCUCUCCUCAUCCGCCACGGCCUCAGCCCCACGAGGAACUCGAUUACAGAUAAGUAAAAACUCUAUUUUUAAGACCGUCAGUCGCUAUUAUAUGGGCAACACUAUUAGAGAACCUGUUGAUAAAACGAAACCCACAAUAGUCAAAGUUUAAACUCCGAACCUUUGAAUCUCUAAUUAUUGCAGCUAUUUCAGAUCUAUUCUCGUUUACAUUUGCAGUUUACGAAUCACCGUCCGAGAGUCCCCUUCCACUUCCACCUCCUUGAGUCCAAGUUGAACACCCAGAUCAAGAGCCUGAAAGCAUGCCAAUGCUUCAGCCGCAACCGCAGACGGUACGUUCACAUGUAAAACUGAUCUAGAGCAAACAACUUCUGCCUUUUCAUUCCUUACCACUAACCCAGAACACGAUUCUCUUCGUUGUCUGUUGCAAGCGGCAUCAAAAUUAAUUUUGAUUCGCGGGCAAAUCGGAGCGACCCAUCUGACAUUAUUGACACUUCUCUCAGGUAAAGGCGCUUUCGCCCCAUCUAACUCCUUAAUGUAGUUAAGCACAAACUCAGCAACUUGAGCGCCCGAUUUCAUUUCCCCCUCAUGUAGAAAUCUAUUUCUAGAUGUCCAAAUCGCCCAUAGUGCACAAGAGAUCAAUCUGCACUUGGAAAUAGACUGAGAAACAAAAAAAUUCAUUAGAUCUGCAUGAAAAUCAGAAUCCACUGUCGGGCUAGUCCAAGAUAAAUUUAACUUCUCCCAUGUUUCUUUUGCGACAGGACAGUCCCUGAACAAGUGCAUCCCCGUUUCUGCUCCCGAAUGACACCUCCAGCACAUGGUAGAAUCAAUCAGCCUUCUGUAGUGUAGAUUACUGUAGUUAGGCAGAAAAUUACGAGUGCAACGCCAGAUUGUAAUUUUAAUUUUAAAAGGCAGCUCUAGGCUCCAAAGUCGCUUGUAAAAUUGUUUGUAACAAGUCUGUAAUUGAUCCUGGCCUUCUUGUAAAAGAAUCUUGUACCCACUUCGGACCGAGUACACACUCCCCAGUCGGCUUUCCACUCCAAGUAAGUUGGUCCACAUGCGUACUUAAUGACAAAGGAAUACUCAAAAUACGCUCAGCAACACUCUCACCGGGAAGUUAUUAUAAAUUAACUCAGCGUUCCAUCUUCUUGUAACAGUGUCAAUCAGAUCCGCAACCUUUAUUAAACCCUCAUUGAAAAUUGGACUCUGAAUUCUAACUUCUUCUAGUUCAGGUACCCACACAUCUUCCAGGAUGGAUACUUGCUGGCCAUCUCCAAUCCUCCAUCCCAAUCCUUUCCAGAGUAAUCCCUUUGCAGCCCAUAUACCCUGCCAGGUAAAGGGAGGUAAAUUGCCCAGUCUUGAAUUUAAGAAAUCAGACUCUUUAUAAUAUUUAGCCGUCAAAGUGCGCGCUAGUAAAGAAUUAGGAGAACGUAAUAUACGCCAACCCUGUUUUGCUAACAAAGCAAUAUUAAAAAGGCUAAGAUUACGAAAUCCCAUUCCACCAUCCUCCUUAAGCCCACUUAAACCCUUCCAGUCACACCGAUGCAUGCCUCUCCUUCCUUGACCAUUUUGCCACCAAAAAGAGCUCAUUAUAUUUUCUAACACUAAACAAAGAGAUUUUGUUUAAAGAAAACAAGCCAUCGUGUAAAUAGGAAUAGCUUGCAAAACGGCUUUGAUAAAAACUUCUUUACCUCCAAGAGAAAGAACCCUGAUACUCCAGCUGUUGAUUUUCUGUCGCAAUCUAUCUUUCAGAUGUUGGAAAGCCCUCUUUUUCUUUCUUCCCACUCUAUUUGGAAGCCCCAAAUAUUUUUUCAUAUCUGUUGAAAAUGGUACAUUCAUCCUUUUAGAGACUAAAUUUUUCCCCCAAUCAUUUACAUUAUUGCUAACAAAGACUGGACUUUUCCAAAUUAACGCACUGCCUCGAGCAAGCCUCAUACUCUUGAAGAAUCAUCAGCAAACAUGAGGUGGGUGAUUGUAGGACAAGAUCUACACACCUUUACCCCCCUAAUCUUCCUAUUCAGUUCCUCGAGUCUUCUAUUUAAUUGUUUCACAUCUCUCCCUUUGCUAGCAUUUAACUUCUUUGCCCAAUCUUGCAAACCUGAGGCCAAAAUAGUUAAGCGGUUAAAGGAAAGCACCUGAACUCUCAUUCCAAACCUUCCUAAUUACUUCCUCACACGAAUUCUCAAUAACCCACCAAAGAGCAAAGGGCAAAGGUCUGAAAAAGAAUGAGGAAGAUGUCUCAAUAACCCUAAUGUCUUGAUCCAUUAAGCGCCCCAUUUCCCACGUAAACCACGGGCCAGAAAAACCAAUAUCCAUCAAUUGACAACCCUCCAACGUUCUACGAAAAGCCUCCAUUCUACACUCUUCUCCAGGAGGGCUACCUUGCUUUCCAUGAGCAAAGAGGAUGUCAUUAAAAUCACCACUUACACACCAAGGAAGCGAAUUAUUUCUCCCCAAUCUUCUUCCAUUAAUAAAAAAAAUAAAAAAAUGAAUUCUAUUUUUUUCAUUGUAUUUUUUGUAGUCUUUUUUAUAUUCUUUAUUCUUUUUUCAACUCUCAACAUUUAUAUUCAAAAUUUGUAAUUAUAUUGACAACAGUGUAUCGAACAAAUAUAAUUCGAUCAUCGCUUUGACUCCUUUUCCAUUUAUUCUAUUCUAUCAUAUUUAUAUUAUUCUAAUUAUUCUGAGUAAGUCCCACGUCUUUGCUUUAUACCUUAUAUUUGGGGUCCCAUAAAAAUCGGUAAAACGCCAUCUAGAACUAUCCUCAUCUUCUUGGAUUUCAACGUCAAUAUGGUUUUGAGAAAAACUCUUCAACGUGACCAAUUGUCCCACAUUCCAUCCAAAACUUAAAUCCCCUCUAGAACCAUCUGUUGAAACAUCAACUCCAUUAAAAAAACCACACCUCUUCCUAACCACCUUCAUUUUAUUAGCAUUCAGUUUUGUCUCCAUAAAGAAGACAAUUUGGGGACAAUAAAUUUUCAGCAUAUGCUGAAGUCUUCUAACUGCUAGUGGACUCCCCAAUCCACGAACAUUCCAGCAGAAAAUUUUUAUUUCUUCGGGUCGGCAUGCACCUUGGCAGUCGUUGAUAUUUUUUAUUCUGGACUAAAAGCCCACCACUAACCUCCAAUGAAUCCUGACUAUGAGAAACAUUAGAGUUCAAGAAAUCGUUCCUUUAUGUCUUUUUUUUUCAUUCCUCAUUAAUAAUUGGGACGUCUUCUACUUUAAAUUCCAUGCUAGAUGACUCAUUUCCAAUCGUGAAAGCCUCAUUCCCUAUGUCUUUCCUUAACACGUCCACAUUUAACAAAGGCCCCACUAGUUGACUUUUACCGUUUCCCAUGAUCUGCUCCUUAUUUUGACUUUGGCUCCUUAUUUAAUACAUCACCCGAAUUCGAACCCUCCAAAUUAAUGCCCAAAAAAUUAUUCCUAAUUGCCCAUGAAUCUCGCCUCUGACUUUGGCUUUGAAUUUAGGAAGAUUGUAUUCCAAAAUUUGACUUUCCAAAAGAUUUACUUCCAUCUUCUUCCCUCAGCCAAAUGCUAUUAACCGUUGUAGCUCUCCUCCCAAUAGCCCUCAAAGGCAGGUCCCACCCUAACGUCACUUCCUGUAAACCAUUUUGUAGUCUCAUUGGACAGAAAUUAUCACCAUGGCCAAGGCAGCCACAUAGAAAACAAAACAGCGUUAAUUUCUUUUACUUAAAAUGUGCAUAAGUGAACUUAGAAGUAGAAAUCAUAAUUUUCUUCCUCUUUUUCAACGGCUUUCUAACAUCAAUCUGAACACGAAUGUGCAUGUAGUUCGUAUAACCAUUAAUAUCAUAUUCCAUAAAUCGACUAAGGAAAUUUCCAAAUUGCAUCGCCAUUGAGUCCUUUAAAAAGCCCGGAGGCAAUUCAUGAACUUGCACCCACCAGUCUGAAAAAAUUAAUGGCACAGACAUCGGGUCUUCAUUCUCUUUGAUCCUAUGAAAAAUUAAUAAAUGAUUGUUAAAAGUCCACGGAGCUCCUGAAAUAACUUGAGAGAUAUCCAACUCAUUGAAAAACUUGAACAAAUAACGCUUCUCUCCCAGAUCCGAUAUUUGCACUCCUUCCAACGGAUGCCAAAUGUUUGCCAGAGUAUUCCUCAUGGCUGAGAAAUGUAUCACACUAGCUGUAAGAAAGCACCCAACCAGGCAGAAUCUGUAUAUCAAAAUCUGUUCCUCCCAAUCCCCCGGAAAGCCUUUUCUUCCCCAUCCUCUAAACUCAGAUCUGCAAUACCACUGUCCAUCUCUGUAGGCUAAGAGCAAGUGCCACAGAUGAUUCGAGUACGUUACUGCCUAAAUCAUAAACUGCAACAGAACCAAAUAGAACAAAAAAACCAAGAAAAGAAAACGAAGAAAAACUUUAAAAACUUGCCAAUAUACAGACAAAACCGUGCCAACAGGCAGACUUAUAUGAGCUUACUAAGCAUUCAUUGCAUAUGUGGUUAUAUUUUUCUUUACUUUACAGAUUAUUGCAAGCUCGAUUGGUUGGAAGCUCGUCAAAGAUUUUAUCACACUAUUCAGUGAUUAUAUUGGUAGAUUUUGAUAUCUUGGUUAAAGUUAUAAUGGCAUGUAUAGGAAUUUUGGCUAAUGUUAGCCUAUGUGUUUUGGUUGUGGAAAUGACCAUUUGGUUAGUUUGCAUUUUGGCCUUGUGUUGGUAAAAUGAUAUGUAUUAUAAGGUGUAUAUAAGUAGACUUGUAAUGGUUGAUGUAUG
rnacentral:lncRNA from 1 species